AGAUGCGAGGCGGCGGUCAGCAGGUGCCGAACCCACGGCCAGGCUUCCGUGGCAAGCAGCCCUAGAGGAAUGGCCGUCCUGUCCCUGCGAGCCCCUGGGCCCUGGCAGGCGAUCCAGGUGGGAUGCUAUGGAAUAUGAUGAGAAGCUGGCCCGGUUCCGGCAGGCCCACCUCAACCCCUUCAACAAGCAGUCUGGGCCGAGACAGCAUGAGCAGGGCCCUGGGGAGGAGGUCCCGGACGUCACUCCUGAAGAGGCCCUGCCUGAGCUGCCCCCUGGGGAGCCGGAAUUCCGCUGCCCUGAACGCGUGAUGGAUCUCGGCCUGUCUGAGGACCACUUCUCCCGCCCUGUGACACGGGGUCUCGCUUUGUUGCCCAGGCUGGUCUAAAGCUCCUGAGCUCAAGUGAUCCACCCACCUCGGCCUCCCAAAGUGCUAGCAUUAUAGGUGUGACCCACUGCACUCAGCUUGUUUUGUAUAUUACAACAUUUUGAGCACUUCCUUUGGGCCACAGGCUGAGCUGCAAGGGGGAGGGGAGGGUGCCACCU
rnacentral:sRNA from 1 species